rnacentral:lncRNA from 1 species
UUGACAUGUACCGUCAACCACAAACGUUUAUGACCACGGGAUCUCAGGAAACGUUCAAUUUCCGAGCAGCCGGUAACAGUAGUCAGUAAAAUCGAACAUCACAACAUUGUUCACAUAUACUGGUAGAGGCUGUGAAUGCAAAUGCUAGGCUGCAUUGUGAAGCUGCGCAGAUAUUCAGCUUUUUCUCAGAUUUCAUGUUCCGUG